AGUCAAGCAACUAAGCGCAUACGGUGGAUGCCUUGGCAGUCAGAGGCGAUGAAAGACGUGGAAGCCUGCGAUAAGGUUCGGGGAGCUGGCAAACAAGCUGUGAUCCGGGCAUUUCUGAAUGGGGAAACCCACCGACUUUCGGGUCGGUAUCUUGCACUGAAUACAUAGGUGUAAGAGGCGAACCGGGGGAACUGAAACAUCUAAGUACCCCGAGGAAAAGAAAUCAACCGAGAUUCCCUAAGUAGCGGCGAGCGAACGGGGAUUAGCCCUUAAGCUAGACAACUGGUAGGAGAAGGCUCUGGAAAGUGCCGCCAUAGUGGGUGAUAGCCCCGUAUCCGAAACCUGAGUCUGGUGAAAUCGAGUAGGACGGGACACGUGAUAUCCUGUCUGAACAUGGGGGGACCAUCCUCCAAGGCUAAAUACUCCUGACUGACCGAUAGUGAACCAGUACCGUGAGGGAAAGGCGAAAAGAACCCCUGUGAGGGGAGUGAAAUAGAUCCUGAAACCGUAUGCGUACAAGCAGUCGGAGCGGACUUGUUCCGUGACGGCGUACCUUUUGUAUAAUGGGUCAGCGACUUAUGUUCAGUGGCGAGGUUAACCGUUUAGGGGAGCCGUAGGGAAACCGAGUCUGAAUAGGGCGAUUUAGUCGCUGGGCAUAGACCCGAAACCGGGCGAUCUAUCCAUGAGCAGGUUGAAGGUGCCGUAACAGGCACUGGAGGACCGAACCCACUGUCGUUGAAAAGCCAGGGGAUGACUUGUGGAUCGGAGUGAAAGGCUAAUCAAGCCCGGAGAUAGCUGGUUCUCCCCGAAAGCUAUUUAGGUAGCGCCUCGGACGAAUACCACAGGGGGUAGAGCACUGUUUCGGCUAGGGGGUCAUCCCGACUUACCAACCCGAUGCAAACUCCGAAUACCUGUGAGUACUAUCCGGGAGACACACGGCGGGUGCUAACGUCCGUCGUGAAGAGGGAAACAACCCAGACCGCCAGCUAAGGUCCCCAAGUACCAGUUAAGUGGGAAACGAUGUGGGAAGGCUCAGACAGCUAGGAGGUUGGCUUAGAAGCAGCCAUCCUUUAAAGAAAGCGUAAUAGCUCACUAGUCGAGUCGGCCUGCGCGGAAGAUGUAACGGGGCUCAAACUGGUCACCGAAGCUGCGGCUGCAUACUUUGUAUGCGGGGUAGGGGAGCGUUCUGUAAGCCUGCGAAGGUGUGUUGAGAAGCAUGCUGGAGGUAUCAGAAGUGCGAAUGCUGACAUGAGUAACGACAAUGCGGGUGAAAAACCCGCACGCCGGAAGACCAAGGGUUCCUGCGCAACGCUAAUCGGCGCAGGGUGAGUCGGCCCCUAAGGCGAGACCGAAAGGUGUAGUCGAUGGGAAACGGGUUAAUAUUCCCGUACCUUGGAUAGCUGCGAUGGAGAGACGGAGAAGGCUAGGUGAGCCGGGCGACGGUUGUCCCGGUUUAAGCGAGUAGGGAGUGGACUUAGGCAAAUCCGGGUCCACAAUCUCGAGACGCGACGACGACUGCUCUUAGAGCGGGAAGUCAUUGAUGCCCUGCUUCCAGGAAAAUCUUCUAAGCUUCAGGCUAUUCGAGACCGUACCCCAAACCGACACAGGUGGUCAGGUAGAGAAUACCAAGGCGCUUGAGAGAACUCGGGUAAAGGAACUAGGCAAAAUGGUGCCGUAACUUCGGGAGAAGGCACGCUGGUGGUAAGUGAAAUCCCUGCGGGUGGAGCUGAAGCCAGUCGAAGAUACCAGGCCCCUGCGACUGUUUAUUAAAAACACAGCACUGUGCAAACACGAAAGUGGACGUAUAC
rnacentral:rRNA from 1 species